rnacentral:rRNA from 1 species
GACAGAGGGUGCAAACGUUGCUCGGAAUUACUGGGCGUAAAGCGCGUGUAGGUGGACUUAUAAGUCGGGUGUGAAAUCCCUGGGCUCAACCCAGGAACUGCAUUCGAAACUGCAAGUCUAGAGUAGUGGAGAGGGAUGGCGGAAUUCCGGGUGUAGAGGUGAAAUUCGUAGAUAUCCGGAGGAACACCAGUGGCGAAGGCGGCCUCCUGGACACUUACUGACACUGAGACGCGAAAGCGUGGGGAGCAAA